rnacentral:lncRNA from 1 species
CGACAAGGAAAUAUGAAUGAAUCCAAAGUCCUCUUAUUUUUCAGGGAAAGCCUGCAGUCUAUGCUGAGGGAGGCAUGGCUGGAGAGCGAGGCGCGCAUGGGCCGAGAGGUAGAAGGGGUUUACCUGGACCAAAGGGUGUGUCUGGAGAAACUGGUAUACAUGGUAACAGUGGAAUUCCUGGACGUCCAGGCUUAGAGGGUCCAAGAGGUGAACAAGGACCGCCAGGAAUAUAUGGACAGCACGGCUUACCGGGAGACUGGGUAGGCUUUCUCCACCCCAUCCUUGUUGAGUGAUGCUGUGUCAUACCCCU